rnacentral:rRNA from 1 species
GGCGUCACUCAGAUAACUUGGCGGCCCUCAGACCAGAUAAGGGGAGCUUGCCAGGUAAGCGACGAUCCUCGAACAAUCUUACCCGCCAUAGAAUGUCUGUAUACCGUCAUCCAGAGGGCGCUGUUAGGGGUCUUCCCCUGUUACAGAUCUGGGAGGUUAGAUCCAGGUGCAACUUAUGGGCGGGCCGCGGUGAGCUACAGUGCUUAAGGGCACAGUCUAAUAACUGUAACACGAUUAGUAAGGAGGACUUUAGAGUAGCCUAAGGUAGAGUGCCURRGCGACUGGGCCCAUUGAGGGUGCAYAUAUCGCCCGUCGCUCGCGGGA